GAAGAAGUAGCUUAAUGAAAGCCCUAUACCUUUAAUAUAGUAGAUGUAAGUUCAAAUCUUACCUUCUUCA
rnacentral:tRNA from 1 species